rnacentral:rRNA from 1 species
CCGCGUUGUAAUCUCGAGAAGCCACAUCCGCGCCGGCCCUUGUAUAAGUCUGUUGGAAUUCAGUGUCAGAGAGGGUGAGAACCCCGUCUGUUAUAAGGACUACCGGUGCUUUGCGUUGGGCUUUCGAAGAGUCGCGUUGUUUGGGAAUGCAGCGCUAAUGGGUGGUAAAUUCCAUCUAAGGCUAAAUAUCGGGGGGAGACCGAUAGCGAACAAGUACCGUGAGGGAAAGAUGAAAAGCACUUUGGAAAGAGAGUUAAAUAGUACGUGAAAUUGUUGAAAGGGAAACGCUUGAAGUCAGUCACGCGGCGGAUAUCCAGCCUUCGGGCGUACCUAUCUGUCCGCGGGCCAGCAUCAGUUUUGGGGGUCGGAUAA